CUGCAGCCAAUUAGGCAGACCAUCCUCCUUGCCCCCUGGGGGGCCUGGUGUGUGCUCUGGCCGCAGAACCAGCCUCCUUGGUAGCGGCUGUAGCCUGCUGCUUAUAUGGGUUGCCCUGAGGACCCUUGGGGACAUGA
rnacentral:snoRNA from 1 species